rnacentral:rRNA from 1 species
AGCGGAGGAAAAGAAACGAACCAGGAUUCCCUUAGUAACGGCGAGCGAACGGGGAAGAGCCCAGCGUGUCAAUCGCGUGUCAAUCUGGCCUUUCGGGGUCCGAGUUGUGGUCUGGAGGGCGGCGCUCCGCGCGGUCCGAUCGCCAAGUCCGCUGGAAAGCGGCGUCGUAGAGGGUGACAACCCCGUGGGCGAUCGGCUUCCGCGCUUCUCGAGCCCGUUCCGCGGAGUCGGGUUGCUUGGGAAUGCAGCUCUAAGCCGGUGGUAAAUCCCAUCGAAGGCUAAAUAUCGGCGGGAGACCGAUAGCGAACAAGUACCGUGAGGGAAAGAUGAAAAGAACUUUGAAAAGAGAGUCAAAAAGUGCCUGAACUCGUUGAGAGGGAAGCGACGUGGAUUCGUCGAUCCUUCGGGGGCCGAUGGGCCGCUCUUUGCGGCCCUUGACGCCCCCCGAGAGGUCAGCGUGGGUUGGGCGCCGCGCACAUCCCCGACACGCCCGGGCAGUUCCCGCCUCAAGUCGCCUUA